rnacentral:tRNA from 1 species
GGUGAGAUGGCCGAGUUGGUUAUGGCGCCAGGUUAAGGUUCUCUUAACAUCUGAUUCCUGGUCACGAAAGUGGCGUGGGUUCGAGUCCCACUCUCAUCA